AGACCAGAAAAUAGAGCAGCAAGAAAAACAGCUUCAGCCACAUCUUCCCCAGUGCCUCCUCUCUUUCCAGAGAGCUCGGAAGGUUCAUAAAUGUGAGGCACCGGAAAGCUCAUUGGCACGGAAGUUCUCUGAGAAGCUCUCUGCAUCCAAGACAUGAUCAAUUCCAGAGAGUCAGAGGAGCGAGGAUGGGGCUCUCAGGAACCUGAGAAUGAUGACCCUGUUGACUGACUACCGCCACAGAUUGGGACCAAGUUGCUUUUCCCAGUGCAUUAAGGCCAUUAUCUGUAGGAAUAAGCAAUGCCUCAAUUCAGUAUUCGGAGACCUAUUUGGCACUCAAGCCGAUAUCUUCGAGGAUGACUGUCUUUUCCCAGCGAGAUACCUGCAGAAAAUGGCUUUCGAUAAAGCUGAAAGGAACGCACCCCAGGGCAACUCUCUUUGUAUGUUGCUGUCCACAUAAUAAACAGCCCUUCUCCCCAAGCCAGCCCACCAGCCAGUUUUUUGUGUAGAUUCUUGAAGAUAAGGCUGCUGAAAGGAGGAACACACAGCGUGAAACAGAAGGUUACAGAACUUCAGUUAUGGGAGGCACACCGUUUAUCUCAAAUUAUUAAGUUCUUGUUUCCCUCCCCAGUUCUUUAAAUCACCCCUUCCCAUGCACAGCCAAGAAAUUAUAUCAGCCAGCCCGUGGCUCACUUGGGAGAGAGUGAUGCUGACAACACCAAGUCAAGGGUGAAGAUCCCCUUACUGGUCAUCUAAAAAAAAAAAAGAAAGAAAGAAAUUACAUCAGUGGUUGGCAGCUUCCUCUGCAGGUAAGUCACCUGGACUGUCUUCUUCCAGCAGCAGGAACAGCAAGGAGUAGAACUCCCCGAAUAAACACUUUGAGGCAAAGGUAAAUAAGGGUGGAAUGAGCAAAUAGGAAGUCACCUUUCCUCUGGAGUAAACUGUUCCCUCCUCUGAUUGCCUGAAGCUACAACGACACAUCAUCUGACCACAGGACAGCAGGACUGGCUACAUUAUUUUUCCUCCCAGAAAAAAUGAUAAUGCAGGCCCUUGUUCAGACAGCUGGAAAAAAGUGCCGUUAAGGUACUAAAACAUAAAGUUUUCUUUUCUUUU